rnacentral:rRNA from 1 species
UGGGGAAUCUUGCGCAAUGGGGGAAACCCUGACGCAGCAACGCCGCGUGGGUGAUGAAGGCCUUCGGGUUGUAAAGCUCUUUCAGCAGGAACGAAACGGUGCGCUCUAACAUAGCGUGCUAAUGACGGUACCUGCAGAAGAAGCACCGGCUAACUACGUGCCAGCAGCCGCGGUAAUACGUAGGGUGCGAGCGUUAAUCGGAAUUACUGGGCGUAAAGCGUGCGCAGGCGGAUUGUUAAGCAAGACGUGAAAUCCCCGGGCUUAACCUGGGAAUGGCGUUUUGAACUGGCAGUCUAGAGUGUGUCAGAGGGGGGUGGAAUUCCACGUGUAGCAGUGAAAUGCGUAGAGAUGUGGAGGAACACCAAUGGCGAAGGCAGCCCCCUGGGAUAACACUGACGCUCAUGUACGAAAGCGUGGGUAGCAAACAGGAUUAGAUACCCUGGUAGUCCACGCCCUAAACGAUGUCAACUGGUUGUUGGGGGAGUGAAAUCUCUUAGUAACGAAGCUAACGCGUGAAGUUGACCGCCUGGGGAGUACGGUCGCAAGAUUA